rnacentral:tRNA from 1 species
GGAGAGAUGGCCGAGUGGUUGAAGGCGCGCGCCUGGAAAGUGCGUAUACCCUUAACGGGGUAUCGGGGGUUCGAAUCCCUCUCUCUCCG